GCGGGUGGAGGGGGACUGGGGCGGGGGUGGGCCGCAGCGGCGGGCGCGGUUGAAGACCACUCAGUGGCCGGGGCGGGGGAGGGUGAGGGCGGGGCGGCCGUUCGGCCCGCGGCGGCGUCGGGGUGGGGACGGCCGCUGCGGUGGUGUCGGGGCUGGGGUUGGCUACUGCGCGGUGUGGUGGACGGCCUCGUGGAACCCCAGCGGCCUAGGCCGCUCCUAGGAAGUGGUGGGAGGUGAGAAGCCGCUGGUGGUCGGGCGCACGCCUACCCCACGAUAGGACGUCUAGCUCCUCCGCAGUUUGAAGUCUACCUCCUCCGGUGUUGGACGUCGACCGGCGCACGGUACCAGUCCGCAGCGGCAGUAGGAGGCAGUGCGACCCGUGGAGGACUCGCAACCUCACUUCUCGCUCGUGCGAGUGGGACUAGGUUAGACGUCGUCGUGGGGCUCAGGAGGGUUUCGUCGGGUCUCGGCAAGUUCAUACGUCGGGACCCGGUAAGUUACUGCCUCGACGGCUGGUAAGCACUUCUGUUGUGGGACCUAGGACGAACGGGUGGUAGUUCAAGUUGAAGACAACUUAGGACAUUUCCCUCUGAAUAACACUCUCGCUAGGGCGUAAUUGAAAAAAAGCAAGUUUUAACACAAUCGAUGAAGGCGAAGUCGAUCGGACACAUACAUCGAUGGUUCCACCGUACGUAAGUCGGACAGACACACUGGUGUACAGCGCUCCACGAUAGAUUGACUUUGCUAAAUACAUGUGAUCCUAGAGGUACAUGACUUGUACAAUUUUUUCUAUAUAGUACAUAUAAGAGGAGGACAAACAAAGAACACCAUAAAGUUCGGCGGUGAUGGUAAUCGUAAAAAACAGACUACCAGGUGCAGAAUAUUCACACGUGAGAUUUUUUUGUCUUAAAAUACGUUAUGAUCGUUUGUCAUUCGCUUGAAGAGGUAAAUGUAAGAGGAUUUCUUCAUACAUAAAAAAUUUAAUUAGAUCUUCAAGUUUCUAAUAUCAGGUCUCUCGAGUUAGUAACCUAAAACCCUUCUUAAGUAGAAUGACUAUUUAUUACUUAUCUCUUUUUUUUAUGUUUUAUCCAAAACCCAGUCAUGAUUUAUCCAAUCCUUAACAAACCGCAACCACCCCACAACCUCGCAAUGAUGAUGAACCAAGUGAAGGUAAAGUUUCCAGAACGAACUUCUAUAGAAACUUCAGUAUUGGUGUCAACAGAACUAAAGUUUAUCGCUAGGUACCCAACUCUAUACUUCGACUUGAACAACAAUACGGAGAUUUGUAGAUGGAGAAAGGACAUCCACAACUAGGACCACGAACAGUGCUAAGUGCUCCUUUCUAUCAGCCAGAAACUUGCCCACUCACUAGAACGACAACGACCCUACGAUAAGGUGUACCCCUAAACUAGAGGGAACUCCACGUCACAUCUCUCUAUAUACGACGACGGUGAAAACCUAAAUAACAUCUGUACCAGUGAGUUCGAGUUAUAACUAAUCAGGAAGGGGAUCUAGAAAGGGAUGUACGAGACAUCCAGUAGUCAUUCUUGUUUUUCAUAUGGAUAUUCGACGUACACAAAUAAGGUGUUUUAUUUAAUCAUACCGAUGUGUGCCAACUGACAAGAACUGGUCAAAGACAUCAUUAAACAUACCGACUGUUAAAAGUCGUCAUUAAUUGUACCGACGUCAGACGACACAGACUAAAAGUCGUCCGGUUGUACUAAUUACGAUCACGUUGAGUAGAAGUUUUCACAUGUACCUGCGUUACACCUUAAACAAGGACGACGACAACAAAUCUAUCUAGUGUGAUCUUGUAAAACAUGCUUGGUAAAUAAGUUCACUCUCUCUAUCCGAAGAAGCAUCAAGUAGAUAAAGGACCGUUUUCGUCUUUCACAUUGUUGUAAACA
rnacentral:rRNA from 1 species